rnacentral:rRNA from 1 species
UGCCAGCAGCCGCGGUAACACGGAGGGCGCGAACGUUACUCGGAAUCACUGGGCAUAAAGGGCAUGUAGGCGGCCCGACCAGUCAGAUGUGAAAUCCUUCGGCUCAACCGAAGAACUGCAUUUGAUACUGUCGGGCUCGAGGAUGGUUGGGGUAAGCGGAACUCCUGGUGGAGCGGUGAAAUGCGCAGAUAUCAGGAGGAACACCAGUGGCGAAAGCGGCUUACUGGACCAUUUCUGACGCUGAGGUGCGAAAGCUAGGGUAGCGAACGGGAUUAGAUA